UGAGGAAUAUUGGUCAAUGGGCGCAAGCCUGAACCAGCCAUCCCGCGUGAAGGAAGAAGGCGCUAUGCGUCGUAAACUUCUUUUCCAGGGGGAGAAUUUUCCGGUCGUGACCGGAAUUGACGGUACUCUGGGAAUAAGCAGCGGCUAACUCCGUGCCAGCAGCCGCGGUAAUACGGAGGAUGCGAGCGUUAUCAGGAUUUAUUGGGUUGAAAGGGUGCGUAGGCGGAUCAAGAAGUCAGUGGUGAAAUUCUGCAGCUGAACUGUAGACUUGCCAUUGAGACUGUGGGGCUUGAGUAUGGUCAAGGUAGGCGGAAUGUGUAAUGUAGCGGUGAAAUGCUUAGAUAUUACACAGAACACCGAUUGCGAAGGCAGCUUGCUGGGCCAAUACUGACGCUGAUGCACGAAAGCGUGGGGAUCGAACA
rnacentral:rRNA from 1 species